UACAGAGGUCUCGAGCGUUAGGCGGAAUCACUGGGCUUAAAGCGUGUGUAGGCGGAUCGGUAAGUACCUUGUGAAAUCCCACAGCUUAACUGUGGAACUGCUUGGUAUACUGCCAGUCUUGAGCCAGCUAGGGGCGACCGGAACAAAUGGUGGAGCGGUGAAAUGCGCAGAUAUCGGGAGGAACACCGGUGGCGAAGGCGGUUCUCUGGGCCUGUACUGACGCUGAGGAGCGAAAGCGUGGGGAGCGAACAGG
rnacentral:rRNA from 1 species